rnacentral:lncRNA from 1 species
CCAAUUUCUUUUUUUUNAAAAAGUAUAUUUUUGCUCUAAGCUGUAUGUUUCUAGAAUGUGUGAAUGUCAGCUUGCUGUACACCAAGAACAUCAUCAACUAUGUGAAUGUCAGUUUACUGUGCAUCAAGAACAUCGCGUGUCGACCUGCUGUAUGUCAUCACCAAGUAUGUCUACCCACGGACUGCCUUGCUACGAUUCUGCUCUGAUGUCUGAUUCUCUCCGGUGUCAGCAUCAUCUGAGCAGCUUGGUGUCUAGACAAUGUUUGGACCAAUUGCGAAAACAUGAAAAGGAACAACUACAUAUGAUUGAAAUAAAAGCAGCUUUGACAGAGCAAAGAAAACAUAUCGAGGUAUACAUGCUAAUUAAUAUUGAUGGAUGCUGUUCCCUAUCUUGAAGUUAAUGCAACUAUUUGUGAUUGAAUAUCAUUGAGCCCGAGGUUGGCUGUUGCUCAGAGGUAAAGCAAUGCCUUCAAAGCAGAAGGCUGCAGGUAUGAGCCCCACCCUUUCCCCAGAUAUAGACAGUGCAAAUCAUUUCUGUAUCUUUUCCAAGGAAACUGUAUAGGGGUGUCCCUGAAGGUGCCUAUGUACAAUCAGCCAGGAAUAGGACCCUCUUAGCUCCUUAUAGAUUCUUGUUAUUGGUCCUAAGUUCACAUUUUUAUCGUAUAUGCAGAUUGUGGAAAACCA